UUUCCGUAGGUGAACCUGCGGAAGGAUCAUUAAUGAGUUGUCAUGGGGUUCGAUGCUGGCAGCCAGUUUUUGGAUGCAUGUGCAUGCCCUAACAAUCAUCUUCUUCCAAACACCUGUGCACAUUUUUGAGGGACUCUUGAGUUGGUUGCCGCUCUUGGGUGGUUUUCUCACAUUCCCUUAAAUAAUUAUACGCUAUUAACAAUGUUGAACGUGCUAUGUGCCGCAAGGCCAUUAAUAUAAUACAACUUUUAACAACGGAUCUCUUGGCUCUUGCAGCGGAGGAGGACGCAGC
rnacentral:misc_RNA from 1 species